AUUUAUUUAGUAUACACUUUGUACAUUUGAUUUCCAAUCAAAAAGCCUAUAUAUUUAGAAUAAAUA
rnacentral:tRNA from 1 species